AAAGUAGGUAUAGUGCAGAGAGGCAGAGUUAACUUCUCCACUGUGCUACCCCAACCUUCAAUGGAGAAGAACAUUUUGUGGUGAGAGAAAGCAGCCCUAUUUCUCUCUUUGGCAUUCCUGCAGAGGCUAAGCGUGCUGUCCAUCUUACUGCAUGGAGUAAGACUUAGUCUCCUAAAAGAGAACUUGGGCUGUUACACCUCCACAUUCAAAACUGCAACACAACAAGCCCCAUUCAGCAGCGACCUUAUGGUGGAAGAACCUAAGCUUCUUUAGAUGCCUCCCUGUUCAACUCAAAGGUACUUUAGCAGCCUACCUCCUACAUAGGCCCCAUUGGCUGAGUGGCACCUGGAAAUAUACCCAUACAUACCUCUUCUACAGAGUUCUCAGGGCUACAUAUGCCCUUACUGUCUGCUGCUGCUGACUUGUGCCAAACCUAGAAAAGCAUCAGGAAAGCCCUUUUGUGGGGGGUGUCCUGCAGCUGCUCUCAAGUUUGCAAGAGGACAGAGGUCUGAAGUGUGGUGAUGGAGGGGACACCCCUGGAAUGGCUUUACUGAUUCAUUUCUGGGUUUUGUGCAUAUAAGCAAGAGCUUGUGUGUAAGUGUCCAUCUUUGUAAGCACCAGGAAAGCAGCAAGCAUAGACAUAACCUUAGUUCCCCCAGGGGUCUAAUCUAACAAGUGAGCUGGCAGCAGUAUUCAUCGCUCCUGUCAAGGCUGGGUAAUGAUCAGAAAGGAAUGCAAGAGGGAGGGAUGACUUCGUAGCUGAGUGAUUAUGGCCCUCACCUGGGAGGCUAAGAGCCUGAAACCGAGGUGUUGCAGUGUCUAACUUGUAGAUACUGGAGUCUUUUAAUUGCCCUAAAAAUGUAUCUUUUGUUACCUGACUCCUAGGUCAGUAAGCGUCAUACCUCUCUCUUCUCUGGUACAGUGGGACUGAGCAGAAGGAUGGAAAUAUGAUGCCAAGACCAACACGGCUACCAAGUACACCCCUGAAACAUGGAAGAUGCCGAAUUGCAGACGAUUUUGGAUUUUAAACUUUAUUGCAGAACAACAAAGAAGUUUUUUUUUUUUGCCUCCCUACCUACCAUCUGCCACCUUCAGGGAAGGAAUUCUACCUGAUCAACACAUCAAAGAGCUACUCAACACAGCUCACAAAGACACUCUCAUGGACCCAGAGGGACAGACUUCCAUCUUCAGCUCCCUCUGUGAAAAAAUGAAGUUUAUUUCCGACCUAUGGGGACUUUUUACCAUCUUGUACCAUCUACACUUUUCCCAGAGCCUGAUGAAGGGACUUUGAUUUCCGAAAACUUGCAGAAAAGGACAAUUUUCUUGCCAUUUUCUAGUUGGUUUAAUAAAAGGUAUCAUUUUGGAA